GCGUCCUUUCCGCCCAAAGCGGCAGUUCGGGCAGAGUCUGUGCAGAGAGAGGAGCUCUGCCUGCGUGCUCCUCACUUCCUCUUCAAUGCCGGUAUUUCAUCAUCCAGCUUACAUGGGACAGGGUCUCUACCUCCUUUCAUUUUCACAAUGCUCACAUUGACCGGCGACAUCUGCUGGCCGCCUAGCAAGCUACAUCACUAAUGCUCCAAACCACAGGUGGUAUCUUCCAGGCUGAGAUCCUUUUAACCAAAGAUCCUAAGGACUGUGUGCAAAGUAUGUGCUUGAACUCUGAGCAGUGGUGCCUCUACUUCUGAGGAAAGUGGAAGUGAUCUGUCGGUAGAGUAAAAUAUGACACUCUAAAUUAGAAUAGUUACUUUUCCAGGUUCAUAAAAACUGCCUGCUGAAAGCAAAAAUUACUGUGCCACAACUUGCUGUUCUCAGUUCCUGGUUGAAUUAGAAUCUAACAUGUCACUGCACAAAUUGGGACAAUGGUGGCUCCUGAGUUUCUUUGAUGUAACUGUUUCUGUAGAAUGAGUCCAGUAAGGAGAGCUUUUAUGUAGUUUCUGUGCACUGAAGAUGUGAUACUUCAAACACCAACAGGCUUAAUAGCCUUGCAUUUAUUAGGGCACAAGGUGGACACGAUGUGAAUUUCCAUUCAGUUCUGUGCAUGCCCUGAAGCAGAACAUUUGUAAAAGUGAUAGUUGAUUGCUUCCUGUUACCUGUGUCUUUGCCUUUGAUUCCAUGGCUGCUGCUGGGGUGUAACAGCUGCAGCAGAAAUUAGGUUGAGCUUCAGUGUGUUUGAAGUACAGCCUUGUAUCAUAUAAAGUAUUGUAUACUUCAGCGUCCCUGUCAUUUUAGGAUGUGUUGUGAAUUCUUUUGUUAAAUUAGAAUAACUUCAUGCUUUUAGAAUAUUUGUGGAUUCUGCUACAGGCAGCCACAUGUUUAAUUCCUUUUUAGUUUUGCUGAAGUCAAGCAAUAGGAAUUUACUUAUUUCUUUUCACUGUUAUCUAACAAUUCACCUAGUACGGGAGACAGCUCUCACUUAAAACUUAAAAGCCAAUAAAGACAAGUGUGGAAUCAA